AUGUUCCUCUGCACUGAGGCGUUACUAAUACUGAGUACAGCAAAAGGACGAGCAAGAUGUCUUACAGUGAACCAUUGGAAACUACUCUCAGAGUGUGGAUUCCAGCCGGAUUUGUGUCAUGACUUCAGCCAGGGCGUUAUUGCACUCAUCAAUGUUGUGUGGGCCUCAGUGACAUUGAGUCUCUCUGCAGGAGGGAUGGAAGAUGGUAAAUGUGACAACAAUCCCACAGAAGGUCCCCAGGAGCGAAGUGGAGAAUUGCAUACUGACACACUGCGGUCUGUGCUUAGCAAGUGAGGAGAAAUGAUAAGAAAAUAAUGAUGAAACGGAUAAACAGCAACAUUUUAGCC
rnacentral:lncRNA from 14 species